rnacentral:rRNA from 1 species
AGGAUCAUUCAUAAUGAGUGUUUAUGGCACUUUUAAAAAUCCAUACCCACCUUGUGUGCACCGUUAGUCAUGUUCCUUGUUCUCUCUUGAGAGAGCGAGGAGGCAGACUUCAAAUUAAUCUAUCUUUAACCAGUUUGUCUGAAGCAAUGUAUCAUGAGUUAACAUAAUUCUAAAAUACAACUUUCAACAACGGAUCUCUUGGCUCUCGCAUCGAUGAAGAACGCAGCGAAAUGCGAUACGUAAUGUGAAUUGCAGAAUUCAGUGAAUCAUCGAAUCUUUGAACGCACAUUGCGCUCUCUGGUAUUCCGGAGAGCAUGCUUGUUUGAGUAUCAGUAAAACACCCUCAACCUUUUCUUUAUUGAAAAGGUUGGACUUGAGUGAUCCCAACGGUUUUUUUUUAAAAGGCUGGCGGGUUGCUUGAAAUGCAGGUGCGGCUGGACACAUCUUCUGAGCUAUAAGCAUUACCUAUUUAGUCCCGUCAAACGGAUUAUUUCUAUUGCUACAGCUAAUAUAAAGGUUGAUUGUCCUGUGCCCGACUGAUGCAGGAAAACAUGGAGAAAUCCUUGUUCAACUCGAUCUCAAAUCAAGUAAGACUACCCGCUGAACUUAAGCAUAUCAAUAAGCGGAGGAAAAGAAACUAACAAGGAUUCCCCUAGUAACGGCGAGUGAAGCGGGAUGAGCUCAAAUUUAAAAUCUGGC